UUCUUUUUAAAUCUCAACAAAGCAUGAAGAAGGUAAUGAAUGCCAGAAUUCAAAGAUGUCGGCUGCGAUUGUUCUACUAAAGAUUCGAAGAUAGCAAUCUGUUUCAAUAUACAUAAACCUGCACUUGCAAAGCAAAAUCAUUAACCUUCAGUCCAUAGAUUUUAUUGAGAAUUAGGGAUCAAGAAGAGAAUGGCAAAUCAAUCUUCAGUUAAGAGUUCAUGGCCGGAGAUCGUCGGGGCCAACGGGGACUCUGCAGUGGCUACCAUAGAAUAAAAAUGUGGAAGCAAUCGUGAUCAAGGAGGGAAUGCCUGUGAUUCUGGACACCAGAUUGAACAGCGUCUGGGUUUGGCUUGAUGAAAAUGGGGUGGUCACUCGAAUUCCUACUAUUGGGCUAUUGGCUAAACAACAAAUAUAUGAUAUAUUAUCUUAAAUAAAUAAAAAAUUAGAUAAUAAAACAGCCACUCUAAAUAAACGGUCUUUGUCAUUUGUGACUUGAAAAAUAAAAACUUAUGUUAGAUGUGUGUAUCUUGUAUAUCUAAUUAAAUAAAAUUGAUUAAUGGGUUCAUUACUUUUUUUUUA